UUGUUUUGUUUUCCAAAUAAAAACAAUGUUGUUUGGAAGAAGCUUCUCUCUAAGUUUUAACAGCUUUUUCACUAUGAAGUUUACAAAAAUGUCUAAAUGUUGCAAGUGGAGUCUUUCUUGUAAUCUUUACGUUGAAAAUUAUCUACCAAUAAACAAAAAAUCGGAAAUUUAUUGCAAAUCGAUGUUCCAAAGGUGAUAUGGAAAAUCAUAAUGGUGCCAUGGUAUGGAUAAAGGAAGAAUUUGUAAAGGUGGAAUUGUAUUGUGGAUAGACAUUAGAGAUUGGUGUGAUUUGGUUAAUGAGGGACUGACACCCUCAAGGAAUUAAUUCUUUAUUGAAAAUUAAAGAUAAAUUAUGGUGACACUGCUGCAAUUUUUUAAUACAAUGUUUACCAGGUAAUAGUUAAUUUUUGAAGGACUUUGUUUAUAAAUUAACAACAUAAGAUGAUCAUCUUGUUUUGUAGAAAAUGUAGAACAGAAAUUAUAUUAUGCAUAAUAUAUCAAUAGCGUUUGUACCUAAUAAUAACUUUAUUAAUUAGUAAUAACUUAAUGAGCAACUGAUGUUAUUUUUUAGGGGAACAUAUAAUCUGAUUAAAGUUGCAGCCAACCCAGCCCUUACAUACCAAUGUCACUAUAUUUAUAUAAUAUAACUAAAACUAAAAGUGUAAAACCUAAUCACCUAACUGUUUAGGCACUUUAAGUCAUUGUUUGGAUCUUAAACUAGAAGGCUCUACAGUUUCAAUAUCUUUGGUAUUUUGAAUAUUUCAAAAAAACUUCUUACUUGCUUUAAAAUAAUAUAUUUAUUUGGAACUGGUUU